UACGUAGGGGGCAAGCGUUGUCCGGAAUUAUUGGGCGUAAAGAGCGCGUAGGCGGUCCGUUAAGUCGGCUGUGAAAGUCAGGGGCUCAACCCUUGAAAGCCGGCCGAUACUGUCGUACUAGAGUCCGGAAGAGGCAAGUGGAAUUCCCGGUGUAGCGGUGAAAUGCGCAGAUAUCGGGAGGAACACCAAUGGCGAAGGCAGCUUGCUGGGACGGUACUGACGCUGAGGCGCGAAAGCAUGGGGAGCGAACAGG
rnacentral:rRNA from 1 species